rnacentral:rRNA from 1 species
GUCCACGCCGUAAACGAUGAGUGCUAGGUGUCACGGGCUUUGACCCUCGUGGCGCCGAAGCUAACGCGUUAAGCACUCCGCCUGGGGAGUACGGCCGCAAGGCUAAAACUCAAAGGAAUUGACGGGGGCCCCGCACAAGCGGUGGAGCAUGUGGUUUAAUUCGACGCAACGCGCAGAACCUUACCUGGGCUAGAAGACACAGGAACCCGGUCGAAAGGUCGGGGUGCCCUUCGGGGAACCUGUGGUUAGGUGCUGCAUGGCUGUCGU